CAGUCGCCGCGGGAAUACGAAAGGGGCUAGCGUUGUUCGGAUUUACUGGGCGUAAAGGGCGCGUAGGCGGGCGAUUAAGUCAGAGGUGAAAUCCCAAGGCUCAACCUUGGAACUGCCUUUGAUACUGGUUGUCUUGAGUCCGGGAGAGGUGAGUGGAACUGCGAGUGUAGAGGUGAAAUUCGUAGAUACUCGCAAGAACACCAGUGGCGAAGGCGACUCACUGACCCGGAACUGACGCUGAGGCGCGAAAGCGUGGGGAGCAAACAGGAUUAGAUACCCGUGUAGUCCCUGUCUCUUAUAC
rnacentral:rRNA from 1 species